GUUUUUUCCCAUAUGUGGCUGUUCCUGAAUAACGUUGUCUUUGUUAGAUACUUGUAGAAUGAGUGUCAUCAUAUGGGAAGGAAGCCAAGCAUCAUAGAUGAUCUCUUUAAACUCGUGAUCCUGAAUAAUCAGAUCCACAGCACUGGACACAUCAACAGCAGCUGCAUUGUAAAUGUUUGCUUUAAUAUUCUCAUAAUUCAGUGUUAAAAGAUAAAUUAAAGUAACAAUUUACAUGGAAAUUGAGUUUUAAUGAUUUAAAGCUUUAACAAGAAAUAUACAUUAGGAGAACAUUAGUUUUCCUAGCCAAAAAAAAAAAAGAAAUUUCAAAACAUACACAUUCAUUUUCUUAAAGGGACAUGAGAGGACAUUUUUUAAACAUUUCUGCAACUAAAAGAAAAUAGCUUAAAAUUAGAAAUGUAUAAAAAUCUGGCAAAUAAACUUAGUUUUUAUGUUA